rnacentral:tRNA from 1 species
GCCCUCGUAGUUCAACGGAUAGAAUGCGAGCUUGCGGAGCUUGCGAUCGAGGUUCGAUUCCUCGCGAGGGCACAA